CCUGAUGCCCUAGUCCUGACUUCUCUUUUUUUCUCGGGGGAGAACCUCCCUACCUACCUUGAUAGCAUGUCAGACAAACCCCUUGGAGCCUCAGAUCAUCCUGCCUCCAAGGGAACUCCCGGGGUCGAGGGGCAGAAGAGGGAGAAGCAAAAAGCCCUCUGCUAUGAGAGACAAGGUCUCCUGGGUUGGAUUCCUGCCUGAGGCAGCCCCUGUGCUUGGCCAUCCUGAGGUCAUCCUGCCCUGAAAGACUUCAACUGCGCUGAGGAUGUGGAUGCCUUGGGAGCCAGACACCCUGGCUCCCAGCCCAGAAGCUGAGGUCGCCAAUGGGCUUAAGAGGCCGUGGAGCUGCAGGCUGGGGACCAAGGUCUCCCUGAUCCCGCCCAUCUUCCCUCCUGAGCUGAGCUGCAAGGAAGUCACAGCACUCACCGCAGAACAGACAGGCUACGGGCACCGAUAUCCUGGCAGCCAUGCUGGAUCCCCGCUAUGAGGUAGGGCACGAACUUCUGAAUGGAGCCUUUGUCCUGGAUGGAGCCCGAGACACCCUGCGCGAUCUUCACCUUAUCUCCCUCGCUGCACGGAAGGCGGGAAGACUGAGCCCUGCCACCCAUGGCUCAGGGGACCCCACCCCACCUCUCAAGGGUACCAGCAGAGGGGCUACCACCCAGAAGUACCCCCAAAGCCGCCACUCCCUGGACUACAGCAUAAAUAAGCAUGGAUUCCGAGUCAGGUGGCCCUGGCACCAUCCCAGGUCUGCAACUUGGGCCCUGUGCCUUGGGUUCCAGAACUGUAAUGUGGAGACUGGGUGCCACCUUGGGCAGUCAAAGGCUCGGGUGGACCUGAGGGGCUGGGAGCUGCUCUGCCUGGGGCCAGGGCUGGGGGCAGGCACCUGAAGUAGCGCUUCUGGCUGCUGCUGCUCUUCUCCAUGGCGUCCAGCGAGCCCAUGCCGCGGUACUUCUUGAGCCUCACACCAUCCGAGAAGAAGUACUCGCCGGGGGCCUCCGUGGUGGCAGCGAGCAGGGAGCCCAUCAUCACUGCAGUGGUCGGGGGGGUCAGUGCCUCUAGCCCCAUGGCCCUCCCACCGCCCCCCACCGGCCUGCCCAAUCCCCGGCAGACCUGCCCCCUCACCUGUGGAGGCACCGAGGGCCAGGGCCUUGACCACAUGCCCCACGGUCUGGAUGCCACCAUCGGCUAUGACUGGCACCCCGAAGCGCCGGGCGUACUCGGCCACCUUGUACACGGCAGUGCCCUGGGGCCGACCACAGGCCAUCACUGGGGACGGUACACAAGAUAAAGGCGUCAACAGCAACGGGAGCCAGGUGCAGUACAGGCCCCUUUCUCCUUGUGCCCUACCUCCACUUGGGAAAAGGGACAGGGCUGGAUGUUAAUGCGGCAAAAAAAUAAGUGGCAGCAAAUAACACUAGGUGAACGCACUCCAGGAACCUGGACCACCCCACCUACAAGAGCACUACGGGGACCCCGGGGGCAGCAUCAGUACUGCCCUCAGCCUCACCUCUCUCCAGGCACUAGUUCCCUUACAAAGUUACUAGAGUUAGGUACUCACAGCCUCCUUUGGGAUACUGGCUUGCAUUUCUUUAAGUUUAAUUGUCCAAGGUCCUUAAGUGUUACAUUUCUAAGUGAGAAUUCUAAG